AUCCCUUUUAACAGGUUACACUUGAUUCUGCUGUGGUGCCUGUGGAAACAAAGUGCAUGAAGUUUGUGCUCAGUUCACUGCAGACUGGCACCCGCCAAGGACCGUACAUGGAUGUCUUCUUAAGUUGUAAACCCUGAGUACAUACUGUUAAAAUAAAAUUGAUAAGCCUUUUGUAAAUACAUUUUCUCCAUCACUGACUUAAAUUAUUAACUGUGGUAAUUAUGUUUGUGUAAUGUAGUAACCAUGUAGUGUUUAAUAUGAUUAUUAAAUAGAUGUUUUAAAGAAACAGCCACAAACCUUAUGCCUUUGGUCCACAAUGGCAGCUUUAAUUUUAGCAUUUCCUCUCCUCCACAUACUUUGUUGCCAGAUGUGUAAAAUUUACAAAAAGAAGCAAUUUAAAUGUAAAAGUUGCACAUAUGUAGAUUACUCAAGAGAAGCUAUUUACAAUAGUUUUUACA